AGUAAAGAUUUUAAGGGCGUACGGCGGAUGCCUUGGCGAUAUCAGCCGAAGAAGGACGCGGUAAGCUGCGAUAAGCUACGGAGAGGUGCAAGCAACCUUUGACCCGUAGAUUUCCGAAUGGGGGAACCCGGCAGUGGUUAUGCACUGUCACCCAUACCUUUGAGUAUGAGGAGGGCACCUGGGGAACUGAAACAUCUAAUUACCCAGAGGAAGAGUAAUCAAACGAGAUUUUCUUAGUAGCGGCGAGCGAACGGGAAAGAGGCCAAACCGGAGCGGGCAACCGCACCGGGGUUGAGGACAGUCAUCAAGUGUGGGACUGUAUCCAGAGUACCACGAGACACGUGAAACCUUGUGGGAAGCAGGGGGGACCACCCUCCAAGCCAAAAUACUGAUAUCGACCGAUAGCGCAUAGUACCGUGAGGGAAAGGUGAAAAGAACCCCUGGCGGGGAGUGAAAGAGAACCUGAAACCGUAUGUCUACAAACAGUCGAAGUCUGUAUAUAUAUCAGGACGACGGCGUGCCUAUUGAAGAAUGAACCGACGAGUUACUGUUGCUAGCGAGGUUAAGUGGAAAACAUGGAGCCGCAGCGAAAGCGAGUCUGAACAGGGCGUUCAGUUAGUAAUAGUAGACCCGAAACCGUAGUGAUCUAUCCAUGGCCAGGUUGAAGCACAGGUAAAAUUGUGUGGAGGACCGAACUCGUGAGCGUUGAAAAGCUUUGGGAUGAGUUGUGGAUAGGGGUGAAAUGCCAAUCGAACACGGAGAUAGCUGGUUCUCCCCGAAAUAGCUUUAGGGCUAGCCUCGAGGUAGAGAGUAUAGGCGGUAGAGCACUGAUCGGGCUAGGGGCCAUACCGGUUACCGAACCUAGUCAAACUACGAAUGGCUAUACUUAUACUCGGGAGUCAGACAGUGAAUGAUAAGGUCCAUUGUCAAGAGGGAAACAGCCCAGAACACCGACUAAGGUCCCCAAUGUUACACUAAGUGGCGAAGGAUGUGGAAUUUCCAAAACAACCAGGAUGUUGGCUUAGAAGCAGCCACCAUUUAAAGAGUGCGUAAUAGCUCACUGGUCGAGAGACUCUGCGCCGAAAAUGUCCGGGGCUAAAGUGUAAAACCGAAGUCGUGUCAUAUGCAGCAAUGUAUAUGGGUAGGGGAGCGUUCUCAUCGGGCUGAAGCAGUACCGUAAGGAGUUGUGGACUGAUGAGAAGUGAGAAUGUCGGUAUGAGUAGCGAAAAGAAUGGUGAGAAUCCAUUCCACCGAAAGCCUAAGGGUUCCUGAGCAACGAUCGUCGUCUCAGGGUAAGUCGGGACCUAAGCCGAGGCGGAA
rnacentral:rRNA from 1 species